UACGUAGGGGGCAAGCGUUAUCCGGAUUUACUGGGUGUAAAGGGAGCGUAGACGGUACGCCAAGUCUGAAGUGAAAUGCCGCAGCUUAACUGCGGAACUGCUUUGGAAACUGGCGGGCUAGAGUGCGGGAGGGGUAAGCGGAAUUCCUAGUGUAGCGGUGAAAUGCGUAGAUAUUAGGAGGAACACCAGUGGCGAAGGCGGCCUGCUGGGCUUUUACUGACGCUGAGGCUCGAAAGUGUGGGGAGCAAACAGG
rnacentral:rRNA from 1 species